AUAAAAGGAAGUUAAGAUUGAUUUGCAAUCAAUUAUUAUGAAAUUUCAUAC
rnacentral:tRNA from 1 species